AUUGAACGCUGGCGGCAUGCCUUACACAUGCAAGUCGAACGGUAACAGGUCUUCGGAUGCUGACGAGUGGCGAACGGGUGAGUAAUACAUCGGAACGUGCCCAGACGUGGGGGAUAACGAGGCGAAAGCUUUGCUAAUACCGCAUACGAUCUAAGGAUGAAAGCAGGGGACCGCAAGGCCUUGUGCGGUUGGAGCGGCCGAUGGGAGAUGAGGUAGUUGGUGGGAGAAAAGCUUACCAAGCCGACGAGCUGUAGCUGGGCUGAGAGGACGACCAGCCACAAUGCAACGGAGAAAGCGUCCAGAGGCCUACGGGAGGCAGCAGGGGGGAAUAUGGGAAAAUGGGCGCAAGCCUGAUCCAGUCAUACCGCGUGGGGGAAGAAGGCUGUCGGGUUGUAAAGACCUUUGGGUAGGAAAGAAAAGCAGCAGGUUAAGACCCCGCGGUGCUGACGGUACCUAAAGAAUAAGCACCGGCUAACUUCGUG
rnacentral:rRNA from 1 species